rnacentral:pre_miRNA from 16 species
CGUGACCUACCCUGUAGUUCCGGGCUUUUGUGGUUUCUUUUAUUGUUAAUUAUCAGAAGCUCGUUUCUAUAGAGGUAUCUCACAG